GCUCCUGGGCCCAGUCUGUGCUGACCCAGCCGUCCUCAGUGUCUGGGGCCCCGGGACAGAGUGUCACCAUCUCCUGCACUGGAAGCAGCUCCAACAUCGGGGGUAACAAUGUGCAUUGGUACCAACACUUCCCGGGAUCGGCUCCCAAACUCCUCAUCUAUGGUAAUAGCAAUCGAGCAUCAGGCGUCCCUGACCGAUUCUCUGGCUCCAAGUCUGGCAGCUCAGCCUCCCUGACCAUCAGUGGGCUCCAGGCUGAGGACGAGGCCGAUUAUUACUGCCAAACAUAUGAUGACAGUCUUGAUGCUCGCACAGUGCUCAAGGCCCAUGGGGAAGUGAAGAACCUGCUGUUUCCUGUGCAGUGGGGCUUCCCUGGGCAGACCCCACUGCUCUGA